rnacentral:rRNA from 1 species
UACGUAGGGGGCGAGCGUUGUCCGGAUUCAUUGGGCGUAAAGAGCUCGUAGGCGGUUCGGUUAGUCAGAUGUGAAAACUCCGGGCUCAACUCGGAGAGGCCAUCUGACACUGCCGUGACUGGAGUUCGGUAGAGGAGUGUGGAAUUCCCGGUGUAGCGGUGAAAUGCGCAGAUAUCGGGAGGAACACCAGCGGCGAAGGCGGCACUCUGGGCCGAUACUGACGCUGAGGAGCGAAAGCGUGGGGAGCGAACAGG